UACAGAGGCCACGAGCGUUAGGCGGAAUCACUGGGCUUAAAGCGUGUGUAGGUGGAUGAGUAAGUACCUUGUGAAGUCCCACGGCUCAACCGUGGAACUGCUUGGUAUACUGCUUGUCUUGAGGCACUCAGGGGCGAGCGGAACAGAUGGUGGAGCGGUGAAAUGCGUAGAUAUCGGAAGGAACGCCGGUGGCGAAAGCGGCGUGCUGGACCUCUUCUGACGCUGAGGCGCGAAAGCUAGGGGAGCAAACGGG
rnacentral:rRNA from 1 species